ACAGAGGUCCCGAGCGUUGUUCGGAUUCACUGGGCGUAAAGGGUGCGUAGGUGGUGGGGUAAGUCUCGUGUGAAAGCUCGCAGCUUAACUGCGAAAAGUCACGGGAUACUAUUCCGCUGGAGGCUUGGAGGGGGGACUGGAAUACUUGGUGUAGCAGUGAAAUGCGUAGAUAUCAAGUGGAACACCAGUGGCGAAGGCGAGUCCCUGGACAAGACCUGACACUGAGGCACGAAAGCCAGGGGAGCAAACGGGA
rnacentral:rRNA from 1 species